rnacentral:rRNA from 1 species
GACAGAGGCCUCGAGCGUUAGGCGGAAUCACUGGGCUUAAAGCGUGUGUAGGCGGGCCCGUAAGUGUCUUGUGAAAUCCCCCGGCUCACCCGGGGAACUGCUGGGCAUACUGGGCGUCUUGGGCCAACUAGGGGCAACUGGAACAAGCGGUGGAGCGGUGAAAUGCGUAGAUAUCGCUUGGAACGCCGAAGGUGAAAACAGGUUGCUGGGGUUGUGCCGACGCUGAGACACGAAAGCCAGGGGAGCAAACGGG